rnacentral:misc_RNA from 1 species
CCGACCCACCACGACGCCCUAGAAAUCAACCGUGAGGUAGGCGAUCGAGUCGCAGAGUAGCGUAAGCGGAAUCAGUAUCAACAUAUUAGGGACAUGCUAGCACGAGACACAGACGUGCACAUAAGCGAAUAUGUUAGCGAGAAGUCUCACGGAAAAAAGGGGGAGGAAGAGGGGCAUCCCAAGCCGUCUACUGCCUUCGACCGCGACUGCAGCUGCACAUUAUAAAGCCAAUGGUAGAGCGAAAAGAGGGGGCGGAUGGGGCAUGGAGGUACGACACCUUCACCAGCACGCGCACACUCGCAUUGCAAGCAGUUGCAGCGCAUGUGUCUUGAGCCUGUGAAUGCAGCGCAUCCCUGUCGUGUUGAACUCUCGCCUUUUUAUUUCUUUCCUUUUUCCUCUAUUGUGCGUGCACCCCUUGAUGGCGAGGGGGGGUGCGCACACGCGCCGCCAUGCACGGUAUCCCCCAGGGUCCAGUGGGCCCCACUCUGUUUGGGGUGGAAGCCAAGCAGCCCCCUCCCCCUCUCCUCCUCCGUCCCCUGCCAAUGCCGAGCCGCCUCUGCUGGCGACGUGGUCACGUGCCUACGGCGUGGGGAGGUCGAAGCGAUGCGCCGCUACCGCUGUGUCGGCGCACAUGUCCCGGACAUGGUGGCGGCGCGGCGGCCUGCGACAGCGAGCACACCUCUACGCCGUCCCUCUGACAGGCGAAAUGCCGGCGCAAUUCGAACGCAUCCCAUCCGGCCAUCACUGCCUGCUGGCGGGGAGCCUGUGCGUUGCCCUGAGGGGGUGCACCAGGUGGUGGCCGGCACAAUAUGGGUGCUGGCGGUGAGGCGGGCCUGCGACGCGUGGAGGUCGGGUAGAGCCUGAGGCAGGGGCCGUGCUCAGGUAGCUGGGUCGGCGCACUGCUGUAGCGCGUGUGUGUCUACCGAUACCCCGCGCCACGCGAUGAGGUCUGUGGCAGGGCUGGUCGGGAGGGGGCCGGUUCAGCGUGGCGGUCUGACCCCAUGCUGUGCACCGCAGAGAAUGGGCACGCGCGUUGGAAGAAAAAGUCUGUACAUGCGGAAGAAGAGAGUGUGGCACUUCAGCAU